rnacentral:rRNA from 1 species
ACUACGCAUGCAAAUGUGAAACUCAAAGGAAUUGACGGGGACCCGCACAAGCGGUGGAGUAUGUGGUUUAAUUCGAUGCAACGCGAAAAACCUUACCAAGGUUUGAAAUCAUUUCAAAACUCUUUGAAAGAAGAGCCUCCUUCGGGAUGGAAUGACAGGUGGUGCAUGGCUGUCGUCAGCUCGUGUUGUGAAAUGUCAAGUUAAGUCUUGUAACGAGCGCAACCCAUGUCUUUUGUUGCUGUUUACAGUGCUUAAAAGAGACUGCCGCUCUACAGCGGAGGAAGGUGUGGAUGAUGUCAAGUCAGCAUGCCCCUUAUAUCUUGGGCUACACACGUACUACAAUGGUAGGGACAAUGAGUCGCAAACCUGCGAAGGCUAGCCAAUCUCAAAAACCCUAUCUCAGUUCGGAUUGUACUCUGCAACUCGAGUGCAUGAAGGUGGAAUCGCUAGUAAUCGCUGGUCAGCAUACAGCGGUGAAUACGUUCCCGGGUCUUGUACACACUGCCCGUCACACCAUGGAAGUCGAUCCUUCCCUAAGUCGUUACUCGAACCUUUUAGGACGAGGAUGCCGAAGGCAGGGUUGGUGACUAGGGUGAAGUCGUAACAAGGUAACC